ensembl:ncRNA E01G6.12 ncRNA
CUCUGCCGCAAGUGCCAAUCCACUCUCAAAACACACCCUUUCUCAAGUGCCCCCCUUCUACGCUUUUGCGUUCUUUUAAUCCAACUUGUCAGAUUGAAAUGUGAUCCGUUCCUCGUUCCCUGUUACCAAGCCUAUUUCUUUUU